GCAGUCGACGAUGAGCCCUUCGGGGUGGAUUAGUGGCGAACGGGUGAGUAACACGUGGGCAAUCUGCCCUUCACUCUGGGACAAGCCCUGGAAACGGGGUCUAAUACCGGAUACGACCUGCCGAGGCAUCUCGGCGGGUGGAAAGCUCCGGCGGUGAAGGAUGAGCCCGCGGCCUAUCAGCUUGUUGGUGGGGUAAUGGCCUACCAAGGCGACGACGGGUAGCCGGCCUGAGAGGGCGACCGGCCACACUGGGACUGAGACACGGCCCAGACUCCUACGGGAGGCAGCAGUGGGGAAUAUUGCACAAUGGGCGCAAGCCUGAUGCAGCGACGCCGCGUGAGGGAUGACGGCCUUCGGGUUGUAAACCUCUUUCAGCAGGGAAGAAGCGAAAGUGACGGUACCUGCAGAAGAAGCGCCGGCUAACUACGUGCCAGCAGCCGCGGUAAUACGUAGGGCGCAAGCGUUGUCCGGAAUUAUUGGGCGUAAAGAGCUCGUAGGCGGCUUGUCACGUCGGGUGUGAAAGCCCGGGGCUUAACCCCGGGUCUGCAUCCGAUACGGGCAGGCUAGAGUGUGGUAGGGGAGAUCGGAAUUCCUGGUGUAGCGGUGAAAUGCGCAGAUAUCAGGAGGAACACCGGUGGCGAAGGCGGAUCUCUGGGCCAUUACUGACGCUGAGGAGCGAAAGCGUGGGGAGCGAACAGGA
rnacentral:rRNA from 1 species